rnacentral:rRNA from 1 species
GCAGCCAUCAUUUAAAGAAAGCGUAAUAGCUCACUGGUCGAGUCGGCCUGCGCGGAAGAUGUAACGGGGCUAAACCAUGCACCGAAGCUGCGGCAGCGAACGUAUCACUUAAAGCGAUUCAGCGGGUUACGAUUGACGGAGCGAAGCGACGUCAAAGCGUAUACAAAGUCGAGUCGGUUUAAGGAUACGUUCGUUGGGUAGGGGAGCGUUCUGUAAGCCUGCGAAGGUGGCCUGUGAGGGUUGCUGGAGGUAUCAGAAGUGCGAAUGCUGACAUAAGUAACGAUAAAGCGGGUGAAAAGCCCGCUCGCCGGAAGACCAAGGGUUCCUGUCCAACGUUAAUCGGGGCAGGGUGAGUCGACCCCUAAGGCGAGGCCGAAAGGCGUAGUCGAUGGGAAACGGGUUAAUAUUCCCGUACUUGGUGUUACUGCGAAGGGGGGACGGAGAAGGCUAUGUUGGCCGGGCGACGGUUGUCCCGGUUUAAGCGUGUAGGUGUGUGUUCCAGGUAAAUCCGGAACAUCAAGGCUGAGGCGUGAUGACGAGGCACUACGGUGCUGAAGCAACAAAUGCCCUGCUUCCAGGAAAAGCCUCUAAGCAUCAGGUAACAUCAAAUCGUACCCCAAACCGACACAGGUGGUCAGGUAGAGAAUACCAAGGCGCUUGAGAGAACUCGGGUGAAGGAACUAGGCAAAAUGGUGCCGUAACUUCGGGAGAAGGCACGCUGACACGUAGGUGAAGUGAUUUACUCAUGGAGCUGAAGUCAGUCGAAGAUACCAGCUGGCUGCAACUGUUUAUUAAAAACACAGCACUGUGCAAACACGAAAGUGGACGUAUACGGUGUGACGCCUGCCCGGUGCCGGAAGGUUAAUUGAUGGGGUCAGCGCAAGCGAAGCUCCUGAUCGAAGCCCCGGUAAACGGCGGCCGUAACUAUAACGGUCCUAAGGUAGCGAAAUUCCUUGUCGGGUAAGUUCCGACCUGCACGAAUGGCGUAAUGAUGGCCAGGCUGUCUCCACCCGAGACUCAGUGAAAUUGAACUCGCUGUGAAGAUGCAGUGUACCCGCGGCAAGACGGAAAGACCCCGUGAACCUUUACUAUAGCUUGACACUGAACAUUGAGCCUUGAUGUGUAGGAUAGGUGGGAGGCUUUGAAGUGUGGACGCCAGUCUGCAUGGAGCCGACCUUGAAAUACCACCCUUUAAUGUUUGAUGUUCUAACGUGGACCCGUGAUCCGGGUUGCGGACAGUGUCUGGUGGGUAGUUUGACUGGGG